UUCCGGUUGAUCCUGCCGGAGGCCAUUGCUAUUGGAGUCCGAUUUAGCCAUGCUAGUUGUACGAGUUCACACUCGUAGCAAAUAGCUCAGUAACACGUGGCCAAACUACCCUCUGGAGCACGAUAACCUCGGGAAACUGAGGCUAAUAGUGCAUACCGCUCGACGCCUGGAACUGGCUCGAGCCUCAAACGCUCCGGCGCCAGAGGAUGUGGCUGCGGCCGAUUAGGUAGACGGUGGGGUAACGGCCCACCGUGCCAAUAAUCGGUACGGGUUGUGAGAGCAAGAGCCCGGAGACGGUAUCUGAGACAAGAUACCGGGCCCUACGGGGCGCAGCAGGCGCGAAACCUUUACACUGCACGCCAGUGCGAUAAGGGGACUCCAAGUGCGAGGGCAUAACGUCCUCGCUUUUCGUGACCGUAAGGUGGUCACAGAAUAAGGGCUGGGCAAGACCGGUGCCAGCCGCCGCGGUAAUACCGGCAGCCCAAGUGAUGGCCGCUCUUAUUGGGCCUAAAGCGUCCGUAGCUGGCCGCGCAAGUCCAUCGGGAAAUCUGUCCGCUUAACGGACAGGCGUCCGGUGGAAACUGUGCGGCUUGGGACCGGAAGAUCCAGAGGGUACGUCCGGGGUAGGAGUGAAAUCCUGUAAUCCUGGACGGACCACCGGUGGCGAAAGCGCUCUGGAAAGACGGAUCCGACGGUGAGGGACGAAAGCUCGGGUCACGAACCGGAUUAGAUACCCGGGUAGUCCGAGCUGUAAACGAUGUCUGCUAGGUGUGGCACAGGCUACGAGCCUGUGCUGUGCCGUAGGGAAGCCGUGAAGCAGACCGCCUGGGAAGUACGUCCGCAAGGAUGAAACUUAAAGGAAUUGGCGGGGGAGCAC
rnacentral:rRNA from 1 species